GAUGAAUGGAAAAAAGAGAAAAUCCUUUAGCUAGAUAA
rnacentral:tRNA from 1 species